CAGAACCUUCUGCUCAUACUACAUGCUGCAUCUAAGAGGGGCACCAGAAUUUAUUAAGUGAAGAUGUUUAAUUAAAGAAGAAAAUAUUUACCCUUAUUUAAAGAGAGAUAUGCAUAAAUGGGAUCUACAUAUACAAUCCAUAUUUUAUAUUUAGUUUGUCUUCCUUAAUAAAAAAAAUAUUUAUAAAGGG